rnacentral:rRNA from 1 species
AACGAACGCUGGCGGCGUGCCUAACACAUGCAAGUCGAACGGAUUUGAGGGGCUUGCUCCUCAAGUUAGUGGCGCACGGGUGAGUAACGCGUAGAUAAUCUGCCCGACGAUCCGGGAUAACAGUUCGAAAGGACUGCUAAUACCGGAUAAGCCCACGUGGUCUUUGGACCGUGCGGGAAAAGGGGGGGACCUUCGGGCCUUCUGUCGUCGGAUGAGUCUGCGUACCAUUAGCUAGUUGGUAGGGUAAAGGCCUACCAAGGCUACGAUGGUUAGCUGGUCUGAGAGGAUGAUCAGCCACACUGGAACUGAGACACGGUCCAGACUCCCACGGGAGGCAGCAGUGGGGAAUAUUGGGCAAUGGGCGCAAGCCUGACCCAGCCAUGCCGCGUGAGUGAUGAAGGCCUUCGGGUCGUAAAGCUCUGUGGGGAGGGACGAAACAGCCUGUGGCUAACAUCCACGGGCCUUGACGGUACCUCCUUAGCAAGCACCGGCUAACUCCGUGCCAGCCGCCGCCGUAAUAC